AAAUCCUGGUGAUGGAUGUCUAGGCUCUUGUAUCGAUGAAGAACGCGGCAAGGGGCGAUAUCGGGUGAUACGAGCUCACAAUCGUGAAUCAUCAAGUCUUCGAACGCAACUGGCGCUCA
rnacentral:rRNA from 1 species